UAUGCAUCUUACCUUCAUAUUUAAUAGGAUCUAUUUUAUCUUUCUCUAUGUAUUGAAUUUCAUAUUACUAAAAUAAAAUUUUAUUUCAAAAAAUAAAAGUUAAAAAAAUGAUAAAAAAGGAGGGAGUGGUAAAGAGAGAGAGAGAGGGGGACGUGAGCUUUUGUUUUCGUGAUUGAGUAUUAAUAUUAACUUUGAUUGUUUCUUUAGCUUUGUCUGCCGACAGACACACCGGACAUAAGGGGUCCAGUGAGACAGCUUAGCAGCACUGCAUAUUUUCUUUCGGUUUCUUUUCUUUUCCCCUACUUUCUCUUGCUUUUUCUCUCAUAAUUUCCUUCGCUGGCUUGUGGGUUUUCUUUGCUUUCCUUCAGGUCAUGGAUUUUCACCGGAAUGUGACAGUUUCCGGUGAGUAUCACCAGCAGGAGCAAGUCCUUCCAUCCCCUUCUUCCUGCUCUAAGCUUGGUGCUGCUAUAACACUCACUAGCUCUCUUGAUGACCUUUUCUCUGCUCAGAAUACGGUUGGUGUUUUUCCCUUCAUUUCAAGUUAUGUUUGCACUGUUUUUUUUUCCCCUUUUUUGUACUUAUUCUCUCCAAGGUUUAGCAGAGUUUGAAGUUGGUUCUGCAAGAAAUUUCCUUUUAUUUUGUUUGAUAGUGCUAUUGUGUUCUACCACAAGAAGGAAGGACUCUUUCUUCUUGUUCUUUUCUUGCUUGCUUAUGCUUCCUCUCUCUACCCCCCUUUUUUUUCCCUCUUCUGCUAGAAUUUGGCUACGUGUAUCAGCAUCUUUUCUAGUUUAGAUGCCCAAAAAAUUUUAAAAGGAGCAAUCUUUACUCGGUUUUGUCUAUUUCUAGACGUGGUAUUUGGUUUCAAUUUUUCAUACCCAUUUACUAUAUGACCAAUAUGUAUCUUAUCUCCUAAUGGGUUUUGCUAAUCUUUCUCUUGGGUGGGUUGUAAGCGCAGGAAGUAGAUGUUAGCUUAGAAUGGCUGUCAGUAUUUGUAGAGGACUGCCUAUCCAGCACAGGAAAUUACCUACCAGCGCCCACAAGUAGUGUUCAAAACAUAAAUACAACACCAAACCCUCCAAAACCCUUGCAACAGAAGCCCCAACAAAACCCCCAAUCUUCCUUGGAGAAAUUUGUAAUCCCAGGCAAGGCAAGAAGCAAGAGAAAAAGAGUCACCAGUUUCAAGACCAGAAACCCAUUAUCCAGCUGGUCCUAUGGCCACCAAACCCUUCAUUUUCCCAGUUCAGACCCUCCUUUGCUCCAACAAGCAUAUUGGUUAGCUGACAGUGAACUCAUUAUGCCUAAAAAAGAAAGCACCACCACCACCUGCAAUAACAGGACAAGAGAUAAUGAAGUGCAAGAAGAAGAAACGAGAGAGGAAGUGGAUAUUGAUGAGGAGCAAGAACAGGUUGCUGUGAAUAACAAUGGCAAGUGGAGUUUAGCCACUUUGGAAACUAACAGUGGGCAGCAGCAGCCUAGGAGGUGCACCCAUUGCCUAGCACAGAGGACCCCACAAUGGAGGGCUGGACCAUUAGGUCCAAAGACACUGUGCAAUGCAUGUGGAGUGAGGUACAAGUCAGGCAGAUUGUUGCCAGAGUAUAGACCAGCCAAGAGUCCUACCUUUGUGAGCUACCUGCACUCCAAUUCUCACAAGAAAGUUAUGGAAAUGAGAAUGGCUGGCUCUGCUGACUUCAAUUCCUAGUGAGCGGUGAAAUUUCGUUGUCCAAUGUACAUCAAAAAACAAAUCUUUAGUUCUGCUUUCUAAUAGAAAUUAAAAUAUGGGAGAAAUUCUAAUCCUUAUUUCUUGAGACUUAAUCCAUUAGCUUUAUAUAUAAUAUAAAUUUUCUACCCUCUUCUGUCAAACUAUCACUUGCAAAAUAGUUUUGCCUUAUGGAUAAUUGAAAUGUAUAUUCCUUGCUUGGAAUCCAGGCAAAGAAAACAGAUAUGUACAGUAUCAUUUAAUAUAUAUUUUCCCUCUUAAAGAAUUUAAGCAAAGUUUAAAAUAUGAAAUUAUCUAGUCUUCUUUACCAUUGGCAAAGACCAGUCUCAGAAAUUUAUUCAAUU
rnacentral:misc_RNA from 1 species